AUGCACAUACACGGAAAUGACGGACUUGCCUUUCAACGGAUAUGGCGACACAGUAUUGUCGUCAUUUGUGUGUUUGAAUAUCAUAUAAUUUCUCCAACACUGAUUAUCCCACUCUCUUUCGUUUUUCUUUUUCUUCCCCUCAACUUCACCAUAAAUCAAAUAUUUUAUUCAACAAUAAUGGACUAG